rnacentral:rRNA from 1 species
UACGUAGGGCGCAAGCGUUAUCCGGAAUUAUUGGGCGUAAAGCGCGCGCAGGCGGUCCUUUAAGUCUGAUGUGAAAGCCCACGGCUCAACCGUGGAGGGUCAUUGGAAACUGGGGGACUUGAGUGCAGAAGAGGAAAGCGGAAUUCCACGUGUAGCGGUGAAAUGCGUAGAGAUGUGGAGGAACACCAGUGGCGAAGGCGGCUUUCUGGUCUGUAACUGACGCUGAGGCGCGAAAGCGUGGGGAGCAAACAGG